rnacentral:sRNA from 1 species
AGGGAAGCAGCGGCCGCCAUUUCAGGGAGCUUGUCGACGCUGUCGCAGGGGUGGAUCCUGAGCUGCCGAAGCCGCCGUCCUGCUCUCCCGCGUGGGCUUCUCUAAUUCCAUUGUUUUUUUUAGAUUCUCUCGGGCCUAGCCGUCCUUGCAACCCGAUAUUCGGGCUGGGCGGUUCCGCGGCCUGGGCCUAGGGGCUUCACAGUAGCAACAGAAGCGGCGGCGGCGGCAGCAGCAGCAGCAGCAGCAGCAAUCUCUUCCCGAACACGAGCACCACAGGCGCCCGAAGGCCGGAACAGGCGUUUAGAGAAAAUGGCAGACGAUAUUGAUAUUGAAGCAAUGCUUGAGGCUCCUUACAAGAAGGAUGAGAACAAGUUGAGCAGUGCCAACGGCCAUGAAGAACGUAGCAAAAAAAUACUUUGCAUUAAAAAUUUAGAUCUUCUUACAUGGAAGAGGUCAAAUCCAGUUAUAGCAAAACACCUUUACUGCAGAGGCCAUAUAACCAAAAAGUCCAAAGGCCCAGCCCAGUGGACCAUUUACUUCAGUGAUGUUCAGUACAAAAUUUCACUGCCAUUAAAGACUUUGGAAAGUCCCUUUUAAGUUGUAACAGGAUUUGACUAUUAGUGUGGAUUUCGAUAACCCUUCUUUAGUUAAUGUAAUAAAUGCUCUUUGAAGCUGGAAAUAUACUGGUUUCUUGCAUCCUUAUAGUUUUCUCUGGGCUUUUAUGCAAAAGAUUGUAUUUUCUGAAUGUCUUAGUAUGUUGCUGUCUUUUUACCUGCCUGGGGUUGCCUUCAGAUGUGGGUGAGGACUUGUUUACAAAAAGUCCUAGAAGACCUUAAGUUAAAAUUAGCUCUCCAAUUUUCAAGUAUUUUCUUUUGGCAGAAUAAGUUUUGGGUCCUAUGAGAGGUAAAUAGGUUGGUUGCCUCUCUUGCUAUAGCCCAUCUAGAGCACAACAAAAACUUUGUUUUUGAGGGGGAUGGAGUUACUUUUUACCUUGUCCCCUAAUUGAAUAUAUUUAGGACUUUUGGUUUUAGAAAUCUCAGAGUUCUAUAGUUGGAAUAGUGUCACAGAGAUAGUGUUAGGUUUCUUAGGCAACAAAAUUGGAGUGUUACCUAUUGCCCAUCUGGGCAUGGCUUUGAUGAGUUCCAUAUAAAUAAUGAGUGUAGCCUAAUUUUCUGUCAUGUGCUACCUAGCAUAUACAUUUCUGACAGUCAGGUGGAUUAUCUUGAAAUUUUAGACAAACUUUCUGCCUCCUUGGAAAGCUCUACAUCUCCUUGUGAUUGGAGUGUGGGUUUCAAGAUUCCAGAAGGAGGAAAAAAAGCAAGAGCAGAAGUCGUAGUCAUGAACGAAAGAGAAGCAAAAGUAAGGAACGGAAGCGAAGUAGAGACAGAGAAAGGAAAAAGAGCAAAAGCCGUGAAAGAAAGCGAAGUAGAAGCAAGGAGAGGCGACGGAGCCGCUCAAGAAGUCGAGAUCGAAGAUUUAGAGGCCGCUACAGAAGUCCUUACUCCGGACCAAAAUUUAACAGUGCCAUCCGAGGAAAGAUUGGGUUGCCUCAUAGCAUCAAAUUAAGCAGACGACGUUCCCGAAGCAAAAGUCCAUUCAGAAAAGACAAGAGCCCUGUGAGAGAACCUAUUGAUAAUUUAACUCCUGAGGAAAGAGAUGCAAGGACAGUCUUCUGUAUGCAGCUGGCGGCAAGAAUUCGACCAAGGGAUUUGGAAGAGUUUUUCUCUACAGUAGGAAAGGUGCGAGAUGUGAGGAUGAUUUCUGACAGAAAUUCAAGACGUUCCAAAGGAAUUGCUUAUGUGGAGUUCGUCGAUGUUAGCUCAGUGCCUCUAGCAAUAGGAUUAACUGGCCAACGAGUUUUAGGCGUGCCAAUCAUAGUACAGGCAUCACAGGCAGAAAAAAACAGAGCUGCAGCAAUGGCAAACAAUUUACAAAAGGGAAGUGCUGGACCUAUGAGGCUUUAUGUGGGCUCAUUACACUUCAACAUAACUGAAGAUAUGCUUCGUGGGAUCUUUGAGCCUUUUGGAAGAAUUGAAAGUAUCCAGCUGAUGAUGGACAGUGAAACUGGUCGAUCCAAGGGAUAUGGAUUUAUUACAUUUUCUGACUCAGAAUGUGCCAAAAAGGCUUUGGAACAACUUAAUGGAUUUGAACUAGCAGGAAGACCAAUGAAAGUUGGUCAUGUUACUGAACGUACUGAUGCUUCGAGUGCUAGUUCAUUUUUGGACAGUGAUGAACUGGAAAGGACUGGAAUUGAUUUGGGAACAACUGGUCGUCUUCAGUUAAUGGCAAGACUUGCAGAGGGUACAGGUUUGCAGAUUCCGCCAGCAGCACAGCAAGCUCUACAGAUGAGUGGCUCUUUGGCAUUUGGUGCUGUGGCAGAUUUGCAAACAAGACUUUCCCAGCAGACUGAAGCUUCAGCUUUAGCUGCAGCUGCCUCUGUUCAGCCACUUGCAACACAAUGUUUCCAACUCUCUAACAUGUUUAACCCUCAAACAGAAGAAGAAGUUGGAUGGGAUACCGAGAUUAAGGAUGAUGUGAUUGAAGAAUGUAAUAAACAUGGAGGAGUUAUUCAUAUUUAUGUUGACAAAAAUUCAGCUCAGGGCAAUGUGUAUGUGAAGUGCCCAUCAAUUGCUGCAGCUAUUGCUGCUGUCAAUGCAUUGCAUGGCAGGUGGUUUGCUGGUAAAAUGAUAACAGCAGCAUAUGUACCUCUUCCAACUUACCACAACCUGUUUCCUGAUUCUAUGACAGCAACACAACUACUGGUUCCAAGUAGACGAUGAAGGAAGAUAUAGUCCCUUAUGUAUAUAGCUUUUUUUCUUUCUUGAGAAUUCAUCUUGAGUUAUCUUUUAUUUAGAUAAAAAUAAAGAGGCAAGGAUCUACUGUCAUUUGUAUACAAUUUCCUGUUACCUUGAAAAAAUAAAAAUGUUAACAGGAAUGCAGUGUGCUCAUUCUCCCUAAAUAGUAAAUCCCACUGUAUACAAAACUGUUCUCUUGUUCUGCCUUUUAAAAUGUUCAUGUAGAAAAUUAAUGAACUAUAGGAAUAGCUCUAGGAGAACAAAUGUGCUUUCUGUAAAAAGGCAGACCAGGGAUGUAAUGUUUUUAAUGUUUCAGAAGCCUAACUUUUUACACAGUGGUUACAUUUCACAUUUCACUAAUGUUGAUAUUUGGCUGAUGGUUGAGCAGUUUCUGAAAUACACAUUUAGUGUAUGGAAAUACAAGACAGCUAAAGGGCUGUUUGGUUAGCAUCUCAUCUUGCAUUCUGAUCAAUUGGCAAGAAAGGGAGAUUUCAAAAUUAUAAUAUUUCUUGAUGGUAUCUUUUCAAUUAAUGUAUCUGUAAAAGUUUCUUUGUAAAUACUAUGUGUUCUGGUGUGUCUUAAAAUUCCAAACAAAAUGAUCCCUGCAUUUCCUGAAGAUGUUUAAACGUGAGAGUCUGGUAGGCAAAGCAGUCUGAGAAAGAAAUAGGAAAUGCAGAAAUAGGUUUUGUCUGGUUGCAUAUAAUCUUUGCUCUUUUUAAGCUCUGUGAGCUCCGAAAUAUAUUUUUGGGUUACUUCAGUGUGUUUGACAAGACAGCUUGAUAUUUCUAUCAAACAAAUGACUUUCAUAUUGCAACAAUCUUUGUAAGAACCACUCAAAUAAAAGUCUCUUAAAAAGGCCACAGGAGAUCUUCAUUUUUCAAAUGUUUUAAAGUUACAGAAAUUUGAGAAUAGAAUUAGCUUCUUUUAGUCUCAAUUCAGUACUUGCCUCUUGGGGGGGAAAAUGUUCCGAGUCUGCGGAUACUUGCCCUCACGUUGUCCCCCAUGAAUUCCUUUAUUCCAUUAAGAGUCUAGCCCUGUGUAUUUUAGAAGAAUGUAUCAAAACUGAGGGGUUUACCAAAAAGAAAAGGAAACAGCCUGCCCUUAAAACCUGGGCAUUCUUGGUCUCCUGCAUUGUCUGGGCAUAUUUAUGAAGAAAUUUUCACCAUUUACAAUACAUACUUAACAAAAUGGCUUAACUUCAAACUGGCUUCCAAAAUUGAUUUAUAUAUUAAUAUAUUAAAUAAGGUGCAUAUAUUACUGUAUUAAGGGGUUUUGAGCUUUCAUACUAGUUGGGAAGCAAGCUGUCACCAUUUAUACUCAAUUCUCUUCAACUGUUUAUAUCUUGGUAAAUCUUUUGAGUAGGAAAUGCUGCUCCUAACUUAUCUUCAAAUACUGAGUUCCUUACCUCAUUUGUUCAACUUUUUUUUUUGUUGUUAGCAUUGAAGCACAAGUUUUACAGGCUUAUUCAGAAUUUCCUAUCAGUCGUUUUGUUUGACAUUUAUCCCAAUAAUUGUUCUAGUGAUUUAAUUUGUAUGGAAACUCCCAAGGUUCAAUUUCUUUUUCUUUUUGAGAUGGAGUCUUGCUCUUUGGCCCAGGCUGGAGUGCAGUGAUGUGAUCUCAGCUCCAUCUCCCAGGUUCAAGCAAUUCUCCCACCUCAGUCUCCUGAAUAGCUGGGACAGGUACGCACCACCGUGCCCAGCUAAUUUUUGUAUUUUUAGCAGAGACGGUGUUAGCCCGGCUGGUCUCACACUGACCUCAAGUGAUCUGUACGCCUUGGCCUCCCAAAGUGCCGGGAUUACAGGCAUGAGCCACCGCGCCCAGCCUCAUUGAAAAUUUACUUUUCAAUACCAGACUGCAGAGUUCUUUGGGGCAGAGACACUCUGUCAGUGUGCUCUUUUUCCAAAGUAUCUCCUGCUAUCAGUUUUUCCCCUUGAACCAAGUCUUCCUAACAAAUUUGUGUCAUUGCUUUCUAGGGAACUGGACCAGCAAAUGUGGCCUUUAGUGGUUAAUCUCAUCUGUGCCAAAAUUUAGUUGCUACCACAGAGUGAAAUUUGGUGUGUAAAUAAUGUUCAGAGGAAAUGUGGUUGGAGUGCAGUAACUUGAAUAGUGUCGUGCAUAGAAAACAGCUCAUUCUGAGUGAAACUGUUUAUGUCCAAUCAGUUCCUGAGUCAGCAUCCCACUGGUUCGAAAAUCUGUAACUAAUCUGGUAAUGUCCUUAAUUUCCUCCUGCCUGUCAGUGUUCCAAAGUGUUCAUCUAGUUUUCUUUUAUCUUUAUAAUAAUUACUACCAUCUUUGAAAGCUCUGUUUAAGAAAUGCUUAAUGGGCAAUGCAGGUUAGUAACUCCAGGGUCUGCGUGGCCUAGGCAGGUGAGAUGGACAACUGCCUCAUUACAGAAGCUUUUUAUCAUCAAACUAGUAAGUUUUGUGGAGGGCAAGCUAUAUAGAUUGUUGAUGAGUGGUUAGAAAAUAAUCUGGAAUUUAGCCAGUUGAGAAGCUACAGAAGUUUCUAUUUUUUUUACAGUGGAUGAACUGUUUUGCUUUUUCUGAUAAAGCCACUAGGUAUAUCUAAAUAACAACCUCGGGCUGGACGUGGUGCCUUAUACCUGUAUAUGUGAACACUGGGAGGCAGAGGCGGGUGGAUCAUGAGGUCAAGAGUUCGAGACCAGCCUGGCCAACACAGUGAAACCCCGUCUCUACUAAUACAAAUUUUUUUUGUUUUGAGACAGUCUCGCUCUGUCGCCCAGGCUGGAGUGCAGUGGCUCGAUCUCAGCUCACUGCAACCUCCACCUUCUGGGUUCAAGCGAUUCUCCUGCCUCAGCCUCCCGAGUAGCUGGGAAUACAGGCGCGUGUCAACACACCCGGCUUAAGUUUUUGUAUUUUUAGUAGAGACGGGGUGUCACCGUGUUACCCAAGAUGGUCUCCAUCUCCUGACCUUCUGAUCCACCAGCCUUUGCCUCCCAAAGUGCUGGGAUUACAGGCAUAAGCCACCGCGCCCAGCCUACCAAUACAAAAUUUAGCUAGGCAUGGUGGCACGUGCCUGUUAUCACAGCUACUCGGGAGGCUGAGGCAGGAGAAUCGCUUGAACACAGGAGGCAGAAGUUGCGGUAAGCAGAGAUCGUGCCAC